UGUCCUGUUUUAGUACCAUGCAUCUGACUUUUCUUACGGAUGUGUGGCUAUGCUAACAGGAGAGAGAAACUGUCCGUCAGUGUCUGAAGGAGUCGGGCAGUCUAUUUUCUGCCGCUCCUAAUGAAACGAUGGCACAAUAUAAACCU
rnacentral:snoRNA from 1 species